GCAGUCGUGGCCGAGUGAUUAAAGGCGAUGGACUAGAAAUCCAUUGGGGUCUCCCUGCACAGCUUCAAAUCCUUUUGACUGCG
rfam:Ixodes scapularis strain Wikel colony gcontig_1108378851238, whole genome shotgun sequence.